GUUUAAAUAGUAUAAAAAGUACAUCUAACUUACGAUUAAAGAAUCUUUUUUUUUAGUUUAAAUA
rnacentral:tRNA from 1 species